UACGGGGGGAGCAAGCGUUGUUCGGAAUUACUGGGCGUAAAGGGCGUGUAGGCGGCCGACUAAGUCGGGGGUGAAAUCCACUGGCUCAACCAGUGAAGUGCCUUCGGGACUGGACGGCUUGAGUAUGGCAGAGGGAAGCGGAAUUCCAGGUGUAGCGGUGAAAUGCGUAGAUAUCUGGAAGAACACCGGUGGCGUAGGCGGCUUCCUGGGCCAAUACUGACGCUGAUGCGCGAAAGCCAGGGGAGCAAACGGGAGUUAGA
rnacentral:rRNA from 1 species